GAUGAACGCUGGCGGCGUGCCUAUUGCAUGCAAGUCGAGCGAACGGACGAGAAGCUUGCUUCUCUGAUGUUAGCGGCGGACGGGUGAGUAACACGUGGAUAACCUACCUAUAAGACUGGGAUAACUUCGGGAAACCGGAGCUAAUACCGGAUGAUAUUUUGAACCGCAUGGUUCAAAAGUGAAAGACGGUCUUGCUGUCACUUAUAGAUGGAUCCGCGCUGCAUUAGCUAGUUGGUAAGGUAACGGCUUACCAAGGCAACGAUGCAUAGCCGACCUGAGAGGGUGAUCGGCCACACUGGAACUGAGACACGGUCCAGACUCCUACGGGAGGCAGCAGUAGGGAAUCUUCCGCAAUGGGCGAAAGCCUGACGGAGCAACGCCGCGUGAGUGAUGAAGGUCUUCGGAUCGUAAAACUCUGUUAUUAGGGAAGAACAUAUGUGUAAGUAACUGUGCACAUCUUGACGGUACCUAAUCAGAAAGCCACGGCUAACUACGUG
rnacentral:rRNA from 1 species